rnacentral:rRNA from 1 species
GAUGAACGCUGGCGGCGUGCCUAAUACAUGCAAGUCGAACGAGGUUUUGCUGAUUGAAUUCUUCGGAAUGAUUUCUUUAAAAACCGAGUGGCGGACGGGUGAGUAACACGUGGGUAACCUGCCCUUAAGUGGGGGAUAACAUUUGGAAACAGAUGCUAAUACCGCAUAAACCUCCGGACCACAUGGUCCGGAGUUGAAAGGCGGCUUUCGAGCUGUCGCUUUUGGUAUGGACCCGCGGCGUAUUAG